rnacentral:tRNA from 1 species
GCGGAAAUAGCUCAGUUGGUAGAGCAUAACCUUGCCAAGGUUAGGGUCGCGAGUUCGAGUCUCGUUUUNUUUGCC